rnacentral:rRNA from 1 species
GAUGAACGCUAGCUACAGGCUUAACACAUGCAAGUCGAGGGGAAACGAUAGAGAAAGCUUGCUUUUUCUAGGCGUCGACCGGCGCACGGGUGAGUAACGCGUAUCCAACCUGCCCAUCACUUGGGGAUAACCUUGCGAAAGUAAGACUAAUACCCAAUGACGUCUCUAGAAGACAUCUGAAAGGGAUUAAAGAUUUAUCGGUGAUGGAUGGGGAUGCGUCUGAUUAGCUUGUUGGCGGGGUAACGGCCCACCAAGGCGACGAUCAGUAGGGGUUCUGGGAGGAAGGCCCCCCACAUUGGAACUGAGACACGGUCCAAACUCCUACGGGAGGCAGCAGUGAGGAAUAUUGGUCAAUGGACGAGAGUCUGAACCAGCCAAGUAGCGUGCAGGAUGACGGCCCUAUGGGUUGUAAACUGCUUUUAUAAGGGAAUAAAGUGAGAGUCGUGACUCUUUUUGCAUGUACCUUAUGAAUAAGGACCGGCUAAUUCCGUGCCAGCCGCCGCCGUAA